rnacentral:SRP_RNA from 1 species
GCCUAUAGUCCCUGUAGACCAAGCUACUCGGGAGGCCGUGGUGGGAGGAUUGCUUGAGCCCGGGUGUUCUGGGCUGUAGUGUGCUAUGCUGAUCGGGUGUCCAUACUAAGUUCAGCAUCAACAUGGUGACUUCCUGGAGUGGAGGAUCACUAGAUAGCCUAAGGAGGGGUGAACCUGCCCAGGUCAGAACCGGAGCAGGUCAAACUUCCUGUGCUGACCAGGAGUUGGACUGCAUCUGUGAAUAGCCUCUAUUCUCCAGCCUGGGCAACAUAGCAAGAGCCCAUCUCA